rnacentral:rRNA from 1 species
GUGCCAGCCGCCGCGGUAAAACGUAGGAGCCAAGCGUUAUCCGAAUUCACUGGGCGUAAAGCGUGUGCAGGCGGCUUGAUAAGUUGGAUGUGAAAUCUCCUGGCUCAACUGGGAGAGGCCGUUCAAUACUGUCGAGCUCGAGGGCAACAGAGGGAGGUGGAAUUCCCGGUGUAGUGGUGAAAUGCGUAGAUAUCGGGAGGAACACCAGUGGCGAAAGCGGCCUCCUGGGUUGUACCUGACGCUCAGACACGAAAGCUAGGGGAGCGAACGGGAUUAGAAACCCUGGUAGUCC